rnacentral:rRNA from 1 species
AUGAUGAGGGAAGAAACACUUGAGAGUUUUAAUUGGGUAUUCACCGAGUUUAUUAGACUGAUGGGUGGCAGGCCUCCAAAAACAAUACUAACCGAUCAAGCGCGGGCUAUGGAGGUCGCUAUAGAACAAACGAUGCCUAAUACCACACACCGCUGGUGUAAGUGGCAUGUGCUUCGGAAGGCGAAAGAGCACCUCGGGCCGCAUUACACGAAACAGAGUGAUUUUAGGGCGACGUUGCACAAGGUUGUCAAUGAAAUGCUAACUGUCGAUGAGUUCGAAACUGCUUGGGCUGAACUGCUUGACAAAUACAAGCUCCACAACAACACCUUCCUGAUCCAGAUUUUCGAGGUUAGGCACAAGUGGGCAAAACCUUAUUUUAGUGGCAAGUUCUGUGCGAAGCAAACCAGUACGCAAAGGAGCGAAAGUGCGAACCAUUUGUUGAAGGGCUACAUUCCCCCGGCUUGCCCCAUGAACCUAUUUGUGAAACAAUAUAGAAAGUUGCAGUUCGACCGAGAAGCUGAAGAAGGGUUCCAAGAGAAGAGAACAAGGCCGGGCGGUGUAGUUCUCCGAUACAAUUUCCCUCUGGAAGAGCAUGCGAGCCAGGUGUACACCCAGACGAUGUUUGAGAUGCUUGGUCAGGCUUUGUACCGUGUGGGAAGAUAUGAUGUCGAGGAAGUCGAACGAGGCACGAGGUACCAUGUGCGGCACAUUGAAGCUGAGAAGUGA